rnacentral:rRNA from 1 species
UACGGGGGGGGCAAGCGUUGUUCGGAAUUACUGGGCGUAAAGGGCGUGAAGGCGGCCAACUAAGUCAGACGUGAAAUCCCUAGGCUCAACCUAGGAACUGCGUCUGAUACUGGAUGGCUUGAAUUCGGGAGAGGGAUGCAGAAUUCCAGGUGUAGCGGUGAAAUGCGUAGAUAUCUGGAGGAAUACCGGUGGCGAAGGCGGCAUCCUGGACCGACAUUGACGCUGUAGCGCGAAAGCUAGGGGAGCAAACGGGG